rnacentral:rRNA from 1 species
UACAGAGGUCUCAAGCGUUGUUCGGAUUCAUUGGGCGUAAAGGGCGCGUAGGCGGCGGGGUAAGUCGGGUGUGAAAUCUCAGAGCUCAACUCUGAAAUGGCACUUGAUACUGCUCUGCUAGAGGACUGGAGAGGAGAUUGGAAUUCACGGUGUAGCAGUGAAAUGCGUAGAUAUCGUGAGGAAGACCGGUGGCGAAGGCGGAUCUCUGGGACAGUUCCUGACGCUGAGGCGCGAAAGCUAGGGGAGCAAACAGG